rnacentral:rRNA from 1 species
AUGCAAGUCGAACGGAAAGGCCCUGCUUGCAGGGUACUCGAGUGGCGAACGGGUGAGUAACACGUGGGUGAUCUGCCCCUGCACUUCGGGGAUAAGCCUGGGGAAACUGGGGUCUAAUACCCGGAUAGGAGCCAUUUUUAGUGUGAUGGUUGGAAAGUUUUUCGGUGUAGGAUGAGCUCGCGGCCUAUCAGCUUGUUGGUGGGGUAAUGGCCUACCAAGGCGGCGACGGGUAGCCGGCCCUGAGAGGGUGGGACGGCCACAUUGGGGACUGAGAUACGGCCCAGACUCC